AUUGAACGCUGGCGGCAGGCCUAACACAUGCAAGUCGAGCGGAGCGGCGGCCGGGUGAGUAAGGCCUAGGAAUCUGCCUGGUCGUGGGGGAUAACGUCCGGAAACGGGCGCUAAUACCGCAUACUAUCAGAUGCGCCUAGGUCGGAUUAGCUAGCGGGUGGGGGAACGGCUCACCUAGGCGACGAUCCCUAGCUGGUCUGAGAGGAGGACCAGCCACACUGGAACUGAGACACGGUCCAGACUCCUACGGGAGGCAGCAGUGGGGAAUAUUGCACAAUGGGCGCAAGCCUGAUGCAGCCAGGCCGCGUGUGUGAAGAAGGCCUUCGGGUUGUAAAGCACUGUCAGCGGGGAGGCGUUACCCGCAGAAGAAGCACCGGCUAACUCCGUGCCAGCAGCCGCGGUAAUAC
rnacentral:rRNA from 1 species